rnacentral:rRNA from 1 species
UACGUACGUAGUUAUGUACGAUGCAUGCCUUCGCUAUAAGAUGCACGAGAGCGAAAGCAUUUCACUCAAUUGCGUUCAUUAAUCAAGAACGAAAGUUAGGGGAUCGAAGACGAUUAGAUACCGUCGUAGUCCUAACUAUAAACGAUGUCAACCAAGGAUUGGAUUAGUUUUUGAGUGACUGAGACUUCAUAUCAUUGAUUUUGAGUUGAAGGAACUCGCUUUCACCUUAUUCAGAACUUAAAGAGAAAUCUUGAGUUUAUGGACUUCAGGGGGAGUAUGGUCACAAGGCUGAAACUUAAAGGAAUUGACGGAAGGGCACACCAGGAGUGGAGCCUGCGGCUUAAUUUGACUCAACACGGGAAAACUUACCAAGACCGAACAGUAUUAGGAAUGACAGAUUAAGGGUUCUUUCAUGAUUUAUUGGGUAGUGGUGCAUGGCCGUUCUUAGUUGGUGGAGUGAUUUGUCAGGUUAAUUCCGGUAACGAACGAGACUGAAGCCUAUUAAUUAGUUUCCUGCCUAUAAGACAUUGAUGCCGCAAGGUGGGUGCAUUUGCAUCACUCCUUAAAGGGACUAUAAUCAAUUGUCUCUCGGUUAAUCUGUGAUACAGGUUCGCCGGUGCCUCUUUAAUCGGAAAAAAAAAUAAUGAAAGCAUUCACAAAUAACAGGUCUGUGAUGCCCUUAGACAUCUGGGGCUGCGCGCGCGCUACAAUGAGAUAUACUAGCGAGCAUUCCGUCGCGAUGCUUAUUUGUAGGUCUGUCAGUUAUGUGAGAUUAGUGCUACAUACCGGCACUGAUAUAGUUUAAGAAAACUCGAAAGAUCGUAUGUGAGGGGGAUAUGUGAGUGUAAUUUUUGUUUGCGGGGGGGUUUUUUUUUAACG